rnacentral:miRNA from 1 species
ACUCUUUCCCCUGUUGCACUAC